rnacentral:tRNA from 1 species
AAAAAGUUAGUUAAACUAUAACCUAAACUUGUCAAGUUUAAAUCAUUAAAUAAAUAAUACUUUUUU